rnacentral:rRNA from 1 species
UUUGACUAUACGAAGGUAUUGAAAUAAGAUUUUAAAUGAGUGCUAAGAGAAUGAUUAAACAAUUAAAAGCUUUCUUUAAUUGAAUAAUUGAAUUUAAUUUUUUAGUGCAAAAGCAAAAAUAAAAAUUAGGGACAAGAAGACCCUAUGAAUUUUUUAUUAAAUUUUAUAAAACUUUAUAUAAAAUUUAAUUUAAUUGGGGUGAUGGAAAAAGAAUAAAUAUCUUUUUUUUAAAGAAAAUUGGUUCCGUUUUUAGCGAUUAAAUGAAAAAAAUACUCUAGGGAUAACAGCGUAAUAAUUUUGGAUAGUUCAUAUAGAUAAAAUAGUUUGCGACCUCGAUGUUGGAUUAGGAU